GUGGGGGGAGGGGAAUUUUUGGGGCUGAAAUUCCCGAAUUUGGGGCUCAAAACCUCGGAAUUUUUUGCUCUAAAACCCCCCUGGAAUUUUGGGCUAAAAUCCCAGAAUUUUGGCACUAAAAAUCCUGGAAUUCUGAGGCUCAAACCCCAAAAUUUUGGGCUCAAACUCUGGAAUUUUUAGGGCUAAAAUCCCAGAAUUUGGGGCUAAAAAUCGGGAAUUUUGGAAAUAAAACCCCCCCAGAAUUUUGGGGUCAAAUUCUUGAAUUUUGGGGCUCAAAGCACCAAAAUUUUGAGCUCCAACUCUGGAAUCUCAGCACCGAAACUCUCAGAAUUUUGGGCUCAAACUCCACAAUUUUUGGGGCUAAAAUCCCAAAAUUUUGGGGUCAAAUUCUUGAAUUUUUGGCGCUGAAACUCCAGAUUUUUUGGGUCUAAAAUCCCAGAAUUUUGGGAUAAAAUCCCAGAAUUUUGGGCUCAAACU
rnacentral:lncRNA from 12 species